CUUCUUAAGCUGUCUCUUGAUGAACUAGUUAAUCAGUAAAAUGUUUGUUAUUUUAGCCAACCAAGUUAACAAGAUCAACCGUUAUCUGACGGAUACUCGCAACACCACCACACUACCAAUUGUGUGUAUUGGCUGCACACACAAAACGGUGAAUCCUGGGUGCAUUUCCUUGUGUGGUCCAACAAUGCAGCUAGAGUCAAAUACUCGAGCCUAGGUAUAUGUAUCUGAGGAAGGGGACAGUGUGCAGUGGGUGUGUGGUUUCUGUUGCCAGACAGUGUUUGUAAGGCCUCAAGGUCCACCAGCUUCCCGAACUUCAUCAGCAUCAGCUGCUUACAGCGCGCCUCAAGGGCUACAAACACGCACAUACACACAAACACAAGCCAAGUUCCCUUUCAGUCAGCCACUUCAGUACAACACAUGGAUCACCGCACUUAAAAUAUCAACUAGAGAUUAACUGUGAGCAAGGUUCUGUCAUGGCUGUUGAGGCAAAAAAAACAAACUUCCUGGUAAAGCAUGCAGUGUGAACACCAUGUCUACCCAGUCCCCUC